rnacentral:sRNA from 1 species
UAGGUCGUUCCAGGCGGCCUCCUUCGCCUCC